UGAAGGCAAGAGUCUUUGUGUUGUGGACGUUAUUACCAAAAUGAUUUAAACCUUCAAUUCCGUACAGUGUGUAUCCCUGGCGCUUUAAGGCAGCCAUAGACCACUUCCAUGGCCGUCACGGGGGGGGGGGGUGUUGUUUUCUUUUCUUGGCGCGCUCUGAAUGUAGGUGACUGACUGCAUCCUGAAUGAAAACCUUGAGCACCCCCCCGGGUCUCUUCAUAGAUCAUUCGCGUAGCUAGAGACAAUAGUAAUACCGUGAAUGCUCCCUCUAAGCACCUUUCUAAGGCAUUUAGCUGCUCCUUUUCCAACUCCCGAACUAAUUUUACCACGACCAGACCGUGUGAAUCAAAAUACAAAGACUGAUGAAGCUGUUUUACAAGCCGACCAACUGAUAAUGUAUACUUGCUCGCCCCUUCUCUCUAAAACAUUUUGUUGGCGGUGCUGACGUUUCCACAUAGUUGAAAUGGACCAAUACAGGAUACAGCGCGAAGGCAGCAUUUCUCCUGAAGUGAAUAGUCCUGGUGAGAUGAACCGAUCUGAUUUACAUAAUUGUACCACUCUUAUUCAUCUCUUUGGAAUCUGCAGCAAAUUCUGACCAAUCAGCUUCUGACACAUAAUAUUCUACUUCUGUUUUCUCGUCAGCGUUCGCCGCCAUUUUCCAAAGCUGCAACAUGGAGAAUUAAUAUAUGUAUUCAAAAGAUCAGGAGUACUCACGUGUUCCAGGAGGCUAUAUUGUUUUCAUCCGCUCAAAAAUACUCAGAUUCUGAAUGCCUGGUAUUUUUUUCUGUAUUAACAAUAUAUUUUCAGUGCUUGCAGAGUGACUUCCUGCUAAAAAAAAAAAGGGGGGGGCUUUGUUUCACCUCUCCUUUUUUCCCGCCCCCUGCCUGGCGCCGUACAAGCGAAACAACUAUACCUGAUACAUCUGAUGUGGGAAAGGGUGAGACUAUCCAUUAAUUAUAUUUAAAUCAGGAAAAAACAGCAUGAAACUAUCAGAACGCUGACUUUCAAGCCCAAUAUGUAUGUCCUAUCAUAUCAAAACCAGAUGAUUCUACGUUUUUUGCGUUUGUCUCAAUUCUGUUUCAAUUCCACCCUGUCAGUAACCAGGACAAAAAGAAUGGAAAGCCACAGGACACGCAUGUCCAGUUAAUUGUCCCUACAUAAUGUUUUAUAUAUGGAUUUUUGUUGGCUAUUUAUUGCAGCUGAUCAGUUGUUUGCAGUCAAAUAAAGGUGUUUGCUUGCAGUA